UGUUCAUUGCUCUGAACUGCUUCAUUCUGGACAGGACUGCACUGUCUAUUGGCUUAUCUGAUGCUUCUCCAAGUCGAAGCCAUGGAUGUUCAAGAACUUGCGCGGAAGUAAUUCUCUUCCUUGGCUCCUGCGUUAGCAUUUUCCGAAUAAGGUCCUUGGCACUAUUUGAUAUUGAUGGCCAUGGAUCACUUUGGAAGUCAAUUUCUCCUUUUAGUAUGGUAUUAAAUAUUCCCUUUUCAGUUUCAGCCCAAAAUGGAGGUACACCACUGAGCAGAAUAUACAAAAUAACACCUGCACUCCAUACAUCUGCUUCCUUCCCAUAACUACGCCGCAACACUUCAGGGGCAACAUAAUAUGCACUACCAACUAUAUCACGGUACACCUUCCCUUCUUCAAUGAAGACAGA
rnacentral:misc_RNA from 1 species